GAGUUUGAUCCUGGCUCAGAUUGAACGCUGGCGGCAUCCUUACACAUGCAAGUCGAACGGUAGAGGGGGCAACCUCUCGAGAGUGGCGAACGGGUGGUAAAGCAUCGGAACGUGCCCAGUAGUGGGGGAUAGCCCGGCGAAAGCCGGAUUAAUACGCAUACGACCUACGGGUGAAAGGGGGGGAUCGCAAGACCUCUCGCUAUUGGAGCGGCCGUGUCAGAUUAGGUAGUUGGUGGGGUAAAGGCCUACCAAGCCGACGAUCUGUAGCUGGUCGAGAGGACGACCAGCCACACUGGGACUGAGACACGGCCCAGACUCCUACGGGAGGCAGCGUGGGGAAUUUUGGACAAUGGGCGCAAGCCUGAUCCAGCCAUGCCGCGUGCGGGAAGAAGCCUUCGGGUUGUAAACCGCUUUUGUCAGGGAAGAAAUCCUUUGAGCUAAUACCUCGGGGGAUGACGGUACCUGAAGAAUAAGCACCGGCUAACUACGUGCCAGCAGCCGCGGUAAU
rnacentral:rRNA from 1 species